rnacentral:rRNA from 1 species
GGAGUUAGCCGGUGCUUCUUCUGCGAGUAACGUCACAGAUGUAAGGUAUUAACUUACACCCUUUCCUCCUCGCUGAAAGUGCUGUACAACCCGAAGGCCUUCUUCACACACGCGGCAUGGCUGCAUCAGGGUUUCCCCCAUUGUGCAAUAUUCCCCACUGCUGCCUCCCGUAGGAGUCUGGGCCGUGUCUCAGUCCCAGUGUGGCUGAUCAUCCUCUCAGACCAGCUAGGGAUCGUCGCCUAGGUGAGCCUUUACCUCACCUACUAGCUAAUCCCACCUGGGCUUAUCCAUCAGCGCAAGGCCCGAAGGUCCCCUGCUUUCCCCCGUAGGGCGUAUGCGGUAUUAGCAGUCGUUUCCAACUGUUAUCCCCCACAAAUGGGCAAAUUCCCAGGCAUUACUCACCCGUCCGCCGCUCGUCAUCUUCAAAAGCAAGCUUUUGAAAUGUUACCGCUCGACUUGCAUGUGUUAGGCCUGCCGCCAGCGUUCAAUCUGAGCCAUGAUCAAACUCUGA